rnacentral:rRNA from 1 species
UGGGGAAUUUUGGACAAUGGGGGAAACCCUGAUCCAGCCAUCCCGCGUGUGCGAUGAAGGCCUUCGGGUUGUAAAGCACUUUUGGCAGGAAAGAAACGUCAUGGGUUAAUACCCCGUGAAACUGACGGUACCGUCAGAAUAAGCACCGGCUAACUACGUGCCAGCAGCCGCGGUAAUACGUAGGGUGCAAGCGUUAAUCGGAAUUACUGGGCGUAAAGCGUGCGCAGGCGGUUCGGAAAGAAAGAUGUGAAAUCCCAGAGCUCAACUUUGGAACUGCAUUUUUAACUACCGGGCUAGAGUGUGUCAGAGGGAGGUGGAAUUCCGCGUGUAGCAGUGAAAUGCGUAGAUAUGCGGAGGAACACCGAUGGCGAAGGCAGCCUCCUGGGAUAACACUGACGCUCAUGCACGAAAGCGUGGGGAGCAAACAGG